rnacentral:rRNA from 1 species
GGAAGGAUCAUUAGGAAAACUAAACUCUAGAAGGCUCGUUUUCAUGCUGCCCCCGUUUGCGGUGUGCUCAUGGGACGCGGCUUCUUUAUAAUCACAAACGACUCUCGGCAACGGAUAUCUCGGCUCACGCAUCGAUGAAGAACGUAGCAAAAUGCGAUACUUGGUGUGAAUUGCAGAAUCCCGUGAACCAUCGAGUUUUUGAACGCAAGUUGCGCCCGAAGCCUUUUGGCCGAGGGCACGUCUGCCUGGGCGUCACGCAUCGCGUCGCCCCCCACAAUUCUCCGCAAAGGGAACCUGUGUUUUGGGGGCGGAUAUUGGUCUCCCGUGCUCAUGGCGUGGUUGGCCGAAAUAGGAGUCCUUUUGACGGACGCACGAACUAGUGGUGGUCGUAAAAACCCUCGUCUUUUGUUUCGUGCCGUCAGUCGCAAGGGAAACUCUUAGAAAACCCCAACGUGUCGUCUCUUGACGACGCUUCGACCGCGACCCCAGGUCAGGCGGGACUACCCGCUGAG